GCUUGUGAACAAAUUGAACAUCUCUUUCUGUCUAUUUAAACGCCAUUUUUGACUAAAAAUAUUUGGCAUAUUAGUGUUCAAACUCCAAUAUAAAAACAAAGGAAUAUCACAUUUGCUUGAGGAUCUUUAGUUAUAUUAUAAAAUAAGAAUUAUAUUUUCCUCGUGUGCUUUGUAAUUGAUCUAGAAGUCAUCUCUUUUGGUCAUACGCAAUGAGUCAAAUCGAAACAGAAAAGACAGAUAUUCCUAUAAACCAUAAAAAAAAGGAAUCAAAUGAGAAAGAAGAGAUACAGAGUGACAAGACAAUAAGGUUGCAAAAUAAUAAUCUUGUUAGGAACAAAUAUUUAUUGAACUUCAAGAAAUGGCCAAUCUUUACUCUACUAGAAGAGGAAAUUCUUCUGCGAAUUGAUCUGGCUUUGAUAUAUAAUGAUGGAGCUUUAAUUGUAACAAAAGAUAAGAUGACAUAUGCCAUAGGUUAUAAUAAGGCUCAUCGAUUAGGGAUACCAGAGAGAGAUAUUAUAAUAUCACGGCCAAAAAAAGUAGAAAUCUUAUGUAAUAAAAAUAUCAAGAAGUUUACUUAUGGAUAUUAUAUGUUUGCUCUUACAAAGGA